rnacentral:piRNA from 1 species
AGGUGGAGAACUCACUGCCAAGCCUGACA